AACGAACGCUGGCGGCAUGCCUAACACAUGCAAGUCGAACGAGACCUUCGGGUCUAGUGGCGCACGGGUGCGUAACGCGUGGGAACCUGCCCUUAGGUUCGGAAUAACUCCCCGAAAGGGGUGCUAAUACCGGAUAAUGUCUUCGGACCAAAGAUUUAUCGCCUUUGGAUGGGCCCGCGUUGGAUUAGCUAGUUGGUAGGGUAAAAGCCUACCAAGGCGACGAUCCAUAGCUGGUCUGAGAGGAUGAUCAGCCACACUGGGACUGAGACACGGCCCAGACUCCUACGGGAGGCAGCAGUGGGGAAUAUUGGACAAUGGGCGAAAGCCUGAUCCAGCAAUGCCGCGUGAGUGAUGAAGGCCUUAGGGUUGUAAAGCUCUUUUACCCGGGAUGAUAAUGACAGUACCGGGAGAAUAAGCUCCGGCUAAAUCCGUG
rnacentral:rRNA from 1 species